rnacentral:rRNA from 1 species
UUGAAGUUCAGGUAACACUGAAUGGAGGACCGAACCGACUUACGUUGAAAAGUGAGCGGAUGAACUGAGGGUAGCGGAGAAAUUCCAAUCGAACCUGGAGAUAGCUGGUUCUCUCCGAAAUAGCUUUAGGGCUAGCCUCAAGUGAUGAUUAUUGGAGGUAGAGCACUGUUUGGACGAGGGGCCCCUCUCGGGUUACCGAAUUCAGACAAACUCCGAAUGCCAAUUAAUUUAACUUGGGAGUCAGAACAUGGGUGAUAAGGUCCGUGUUCGAAAGGGAAACAGCCCAGACCACCAGCUAAGGUCCCAAAAUAUAUGUUAAGUGGAAAAGGAUGUGGCGUUGCCCAGACAACUAGGAUGUUGGCUUAGAAGCAGCCAUCAUUUAAAGAGUGCGUAAUAGCUCACUAGUCGAGUGACACUGCGCCGAAAAUGUACCGGGGCUAAACAUAUUACCGAAGCUGUGGAUUGUCCUUUGGACAAUGGUAGGAGAGCGUUCUAAGGGCGUUGAAGCAUGAUCGUAAGGACAUGUGGAGCGCUUAGAAGUGAGAAUGCCGGUGUGAGUAGCGAAAGACGGGUGAGAAUCCCGUCCACCGAUUGACUAAGGUUUCCAGAGGAAGGCUCGUCCGCUCUGGGUUAGUCGGGUCCUAAGCUGAGGCCGACAGGCGUAGGCGAUGGAUAACAGGUUGAUAUUCCUGUACCACCUAUAAUCGUUUUAAUCGAUGGGGGGACGCAGUAGGAUAGGCGAAGCGUGCGAUUGGAUUGCACGUCUAAGCAGUAAGGCUGAGUAUUAGGCAAAUCCGGUACUCGUUAAGGCUGAGCUGUGAUGGGGAGAAGACAUUGUGUCUUCGAGUCGUUGAUUUCACACUGCCGAGAAAAGCCUCUAGAUAGAAAAUAGGUGCCCGUACCGCAAACCGACACAGGUAGUCAAGAUGAGAAUUCUAAGGUGAGCGAGCGAACUCUCGUUAAGGAACUCGGCAAAAUGACCCCGUAACUUCGGGAGAAGGGGUGCUCUUUAGGGUUAACGCCCAGAAGAGCCGCAGUGAAUAGGCCCAAGCGACUGUUUAUCAAAAACACAGGUCUCUGCUAAACCGUAAGGUGAUGUAUAGGGGCUGACGCCUGCCCGGUGCUGGAAGGUUAAGAGGAGUGGUUAGCUUCUGCGAAGCUACGAAUCGAAGCCCCAGUAAACGGCGGCCGUAACUAUAACGGUCCUAAGGUAGCGAAAUUCCUUGUCGGGUAAGUUCCGACCCGCACGAAAGGCGUAACGAUUUGGGCACUGUCUCAACGAGAGACUCGGUGAAAUCAUAGUACCUGUGAAGAUGCAGGUUACCCGCGACAGGACGGAAAGACCCCGUGGAGCUUUACUGUAGCCUGAUAUUGAAAUUCGGCACAGCUUGUACAGGAUAGGUAGGAGCCUUUGAAACGUGAGCGCUAGCUUACGUGGAGGCGCUGGUGGGAUACUACCCUAGCUGUGUUGGCUUUCUAACCCGCACUACUUAUCGUGGUGGGAGACAGUGUCAGGCGGGCAGUUUGACUGGGGCGGUCGCCUCCUAAAAGGUAACGGAGGCGCUCAAAGGUUCCCUCAGAAUGGUUGGAAAUCAUUCAUAGAGUGUAAAGGCAUAAGGGAGCUUGACUGCGAGACCUACAAGUCGAGCAGGGUCGAAAGACGGACUUAGUGAUCCGGUGGUUCCGCAUGGAAGGGCCAUCGCUCAACGGAUAAAAGCUACCCCGGGGAUAACAGGCUUAUCUCCCCCAAGAGUUCACAUCGACGGGGAGGUUUGGCACCUCGAUGUCGGCUCAUCGCAUCCUGGGGCUGUAGUCGGUCCCAAGGGUUGGGCUGUUCGCCCAUUAAAGCGGUACGCGAGCUGGGUUCAGAACGUCGUGAGACAGUUCGGUCCCUAUCCGUCGUGGGCGUAGGAAAUUUGAGAGGAGCUGUCCUUAGUACGAGAGGACCGGGAUGGACAUACCUCUGGUGUACCAGUUGUCGUGCCAACGGCAUAGCUGGGUAGCUAUGUGUGGACGGGAUAAGUGCUGAAAGCAUCUAAGCAUGAAGCCCCCCUCAAGAUGAGAUUUCCCAACUUCG